rnacentral:rRNA from 1 species
AUUGAACGCUGGCGGCAGGCUUAACACAUGCAAGUCGAGCGGGGUGAUGGUGCUUGCACUAUCACUUAGCGGCGGACGGGUGAGUAAUGCUUAGGAAUCUGCCUAUUAGUGGGGGACAACAUCUCGAAAGGGAUGCUAAUACCGCAUACGUCCUACGGGAGAAAGCAGGGGAUCACUUGUGACCUUGCGCUAAUAGAUGAGCCUAAGUCGGAUUGGCUAGUUGGUGGGGUAAAGGCCUACCAAGGCGACGAUCUGUAGCGGGCCUGAGAGGAUGAGCCGCCACACGGGGACUGAGACACGGCCCAGACUCCUACGGGAGGCAGCAGUGGGGAAUAUUGGACAAUGGGGGGAACCCUGAUCCAGCCAUGCCGCGUGUGUGAAGAAGGCCUUAUGGUUGUAAAGCACUUUAAGCGAGGAGGAGGCUCUUUUGGUUAAUACCCAAGAUGAGUGGACGUUACUCGCAGAAUAAGCACCGGCUAACUCUGUGCCAGCAGCCGCGGUAA